rnacentral:rRNA from 1 species
UGGGGAAUAUUGCACAAUGGGGGAAACCCUGAUGCAGCCAUGCCGCGUGUGUGAAGAAGGCCUUCGGGUUGUAAAGCACUUUCAGCGAGGAGGAAAGGUUGGCGCCUAAUACGUGUCAACUGUGACGUUACUCGCAGAAGAAGCACCGGCUAACUCCGUGCCAGCAGCCGCGGUAAUACGGAGGGUGCAAGCGUUAAUCGGAAUUACUGGGCGUAAAGCGCACGCAGGCGGUUGGAUAAGUUAGAUGUGAAAGCCCCGGGCUCAACCUGGGAAUUGCAUUUAAAACUGUCCAGCUAGAGUCUUGUAGAGGGGGGUAGAAUUCCAGGUGUAGCGGUGAAAUGCGUAGAGAUCUGGAGGAAUACCGGUGGCGAAGGCGGCCCCCUGGACAAAGACUGACGCUCAGGUGCGAAAGCGUGGGGAGCAAACAGGAUUAGAUAUCCUGGUAGUCCACGCCGUAAACGAUGUCGAUUUGGAGGCUGUGUCCUUGAGACGUGGCUUCCGGAGCUAACGCGUUAAAUCGACCGCCUGGGGAGUACGGCCGCAAGGUUA